UACGGAGGAUGCGGGCGUUAUCCGGAUUUAUUGGGUUUAAAGGGUGCGUAGGCGGACGCUUAAGUCAGCGGUAAAAUUGCGGGGCUCAACCUCGUCGAGCCGUUGAAACUGGGUGCCUUGAGUGGGCGAGAAGUACGCGGAAUGCGUGGUGUAGCGGUGAAAUGCAUAGAUAUCACGCAGAACUCCGAUUGCGAAGGCAGCGUACCGGCGCCCUACUGACGCUGAAGCACGAAGGCGUGGGUAUCGAACAGG
rnacentral:rRNA from 1 species